AGUGAACGCUGGCGGUAGGCCUAACACAUGCAAGUCGAACGGCAGCACAGUAAGAGCUUGCUCUUACGGGUGGGGAGUGGCGGACGGGGGAGUAAUACAUCCGGAUCUACUUUUUCGUGGGGGAUAACGUAGGGAAACUUACGCUAAUACCGCAUACGACCUACGGGUGAAAGCAGUGGAGCUUUGUACCUUGCGCGAUUGAAUAAGCCGAUGUCCUAAUAGCCAUUUGUCGGUGGAAAGGCCCACCAAGGCGACGAUCCGUAGCUGGACUUAGAGGAUGAUCAGCCACAGAGGACAUGAGCCAAGGACCCGAGUCCUACGGAAGGCAGGAGUGGGGAAUCUUGGAAAAUGGGCGCAAGCCUGCUCCAGACAAACCGCGUGGGUGAAGAAGGCCUUCGGGUUGUAAAGCCUUUUUGUUGGGAAAGAAAGAAGCAGUUUAAUACCACGCUGUUAUGACGGUACCCAAAGAAUAAGCACCGGCUAACUUCGUG
rnacentral:rRNA from 1 species